AGGAUAAACGCUGGCGGCGUGCCUAAUCAAUGCGAGUCGAACGGGGGUCCUUCGGGGCCCAGUGGCGUCCGGGUGAGUAACGCGUAGCUAACCUACCCAACUGUGGGGGAUACCCGUCAGAAAUGGCGGCUAAUACCGCAUGCGGUGACACUCCGGAGGGGGUGGCAUCAAAGCCGAGAGGUGCAGAUGGAGGGGGCUGCGUCUGGUUAGCUAGUCGGUGGGGUAACGGCCUACCGAGGCAACGAUCAGUAGCUGGUCUGAGAGGAUGGUCAGCCACACUGGGACUGAGACAUGGUCCAGAGCUCUACGGGGUUUAGCAUGAAGGGAUAUUGCGCAAUGGGCGAAAGCCUGACGCAGCAACGCCGCGUGUGGGACGAAGCCUUUCGGGUGUAAACCGACUUUUCCCAGGGAAGAAGGAAGUGACGGUACCUGGGAAGAAGCCUUGGCUAAGUACGUGCCAGCAGCCGC
rnacentral:rRNA from 1 species